CGUUUCGUGGCGAGGCUAAGCCGUCAGGUGGAGCCGUAGGGAACCGAGUCUGAAUAGGGCAUUAGUCACGGGAUGCAGACCCGAAGCCAGGCGAUCUACCCAUGGCCAGGGUGAAGCGUGGGUAACACUGCGUGGAGGCCCGAACUCACCGAGGUUGAAAACUCGGGGGAUGAGCUGUGGGUAGGAGUGAAAGGCUAAUCAAGCUUGGAAAUAGCUGGUUCUCCCCGAAAGAUAUUGACGUAUCGCGUCGGAUAGCGCCACUGGGGGUAGAGCACUGACAGGGCUAGGGGUCCAUAAGGAUUACCAAACCCCUAUCAAAACUCCGAAUACCGGCGAGCGACGUCCGGCAGGCAGGCUGCGGGAGAUAAGUUUCGUAGCCAAAAGGGAAAGAGCCCAGGCUCCCAGCUAAGGUCCCCAAGUACGUGCUAAGUGGUCAAGGAUGUGGGGAAGCAUAGACAACCAGGAGGUUGGCUUAGAAGCAGCCAUCCUUUAAAGAAAGCGUAAUAGCUCACUGGUCAAGUUUUCCUGCGCCGUAAAUAUAACGGGGC
rnacentral:rRNA from 1 species